GGGGCUGUAGCUCAGCUGGGAGAGCGCUUGAAUGGCAUUCAAGAGGUCAGGGGUUCGAUCCCCCUCAGCUCCACCA
rnacentral:tRNA from 6 species